GUGCCCGGCCGUGACUGGCGUAGGUGGAACCGACCACCGGGGAGCGGCCGUUCCUCCCUGCAGCGCACCGCCCGCCUGGGUGCCUGGG
rnacentral:ncRNA from 2 species